rnacentral:rRNA from 1 species
UACGGGGGGGGCAAGCGUUGUUCGGAAUUACUGGGCGUAAAGGGCUCGUAGGCGGCCAACUAAGUCAGACGUGAAAUCCCCAGGCUCAACCUGGGAACUGCGUCUGAUACUGGAUGGCUUGAAUCCGGGAGAGGGAUGCAGAAUUCCAGGUGUAGCGGUGAAAUGCGUAGAUAUAGGAAGGAACACCAGUGGCGAAGGCGACCACCUGGACUGAUACUGACACUGAGGUGCGAAAGCGUGGGGAGCAAACAGG